rnacentral:rRNA from 1 species
CCUACGGGAGGCAGUAGUGAGGAAUAUUGGUCAAUGGGCGGAAGCCUGAACCAGCCAAGUCGCGUGAGGGAAUAAGGCCCUACGGGUCGUAAACCUCUUUUGCCGGGGAGCAAGGGCCGGGACGAGUCCCGGUCCGGAGAGUACCCGGAGAAAAAGCAUCGGCUAACUCCGUGCCAGCAGCAGCGGUAAUACGGAGGAAGCGAGCGUUAUCCGGAUUUAUUGGGUUUAAAGGGUGCGUAGGCGGGCUUUUAAGUCAGCGGUAAAAAUUCGGGGGUCAACCCCGUCCGGCCGUUGAAACUGGGGGCCUUGAGUGGGCGAGAAGAAGGCGGAAUGCGUGGUGUAGCGGUGAAAUGCAUAGAUAUCACGCAGAACCCCGAGUGCGAAGGCAGCCUUCCGGCGCCCUACUGACGCUGAGGCACGAAAGUGCGGGGAUCGAACAGGAUUAGAUACCCUGGUAGUC